CACGUAGGGUGCGAGCGUUGUCCGGAAUUAUUGGGCGUAAAGAGCUCGUAGGCGGUGUGUCGCGUCGGCCGUGAAAACCUGCAGCUUAACUGUGGGCUUGCGGUCGAUACGGGCAUCACUGGAGUUCGGCAGGGGAGACUGGAACUCCUGGUGUAGCGGUGAAAUGCGCAGAUAUCAGGAGGAACACCGGUGGCGAAGGCGGGUCUCUGGGCCACUACUGACGCUGAGAAGCGAAAGCAUGGGGAGCGAACAGG
rnacentral:rRNA from 1 species